AUUUAACGUGAACUCAUGAUCAUGUUUGACGCGAAUCACAAUAACGUAUUAUAAUUAAGACAAUUCUCAACUCACAAUGACUGUUAAUUCAUCUUUGUCCCUUAGCAACUCCUUAUCUUUUCUCUUAGCCUCGUGUCUUUCGUCUUAGCCUCACCACGUACGUGUUCCGCAGCCGCUUGUUUUAAUUCGCCCGACCCCCCAGGCCCCUCAUCCGCGAUACUACGAUAACAUAAUAUAAAAUUUGUAUAAUUUUAGUAAAGUAAUUUUAAGUAUAAAACUUUGUUCCCAUCGAUAAGAUUAAGCGAUAUCGUGACAAAGUAGCCUAGCGAAAUGACGACUCAAGACAGUUAAUAUUAUUGAGAAACGUUAAGUUGGUACGAUCGUUAGUUCCUACAAGCUAAGUUGGUACGACUUUUAACGACGCUCUUUUGUCUUAGGAGUGGAUCACGUGUUAAUUAACUGAGUGUAUCCGGUGUGUUCAGACGUCUUGUACGAGGUGGUGAAAUAUAAAAAAUAAAAUUCAAUCUGUGUGAAUCUAUUAAAUAUCAACUCAAACCUAUAUUUAAUAGCAAAUAUUUGAAAAUUCAGUAGAAAAUCGAAUGGAGAAAUCGCAAUGGCCAUCGUCCAUCAAAGAACCAUCGAAUCGACGUGCGCGAGGCAUCAUAGACGUCGCUGGGAUCGAACGUACCAGGACACGAGGGCGAUAAUGAUGAUGACGUCGGCGGUCAUUACCGCGGAAGCGUACCGCCCAUUUUGUUUCUUUCGCCACCGCGUUUUAAAAGAAGGUAGCAACGAACGACGAACGAGUCUUGGGCUGGAUCGGCCAAAGGAUAAUGACGGAGGGUUGAAUGUUUGAAUUAGGAUCAGUGGAAAUUGUACGCAACGCUCGUAAUACUACACCGACUGGUGAUGUUAAGGUAGCGCUGUGUGAGUGUUAUCAGUACACGACAUAUACUGGGCGUUUUGAAGGUUAGGACAAUUGGGUGUUCCAUUCCAGAUCUACUCUAUGCGCUUCAUAUGUGUUCCAUGUUAUUGAAUUCCAUCACAAAUAUAACAAGAAUGGUAUUUUGUUAAAUCUUGACACGAAGGUUAUUCUGGGAAUUAAUAUCAUCCGUGCCUGUAACCCAUCCUGACAGCAUUCUGAAGCAGGAGCUCCACGGAAAUUAUUUAUUCAUACUCGAUCUUCCAUGACUAACCACGCUUGCCGCAACCCUCGUGGUGAAACGUGCAGGGGUCGGAGGUUUAUCGAAACAGUUUCCAGUUGCUGCUCAAUAAUAUCGAACAUCGAACAGAAGCCACGAUAACGUGAAAAUUAGCACCUCGUCGUAGGAGCUUGAACUUAUCGCGUUCUUUGCAUUCUUUUAGAUCCAAUUGUUAAUCAAUUUAUUAAAUUAGAGAAAAUUGAUACUACUUGAAAGAUAAAAAAUUUUGUUGACAC
rnacentral:lncRNA from 1 species